rnacentral:sRNA from 1 species
GCUGGGCGCAGUGGCUCACGCCUAUAAUCCCAGUGGCUUGGGAGGCUGAGACAGGAGGCUUGAGAGUUCAAAGCCAAUCUCAGCAAGAGCAAGACACUGAACAACUCAGUGAGACCCUGUCUCUA